rnacentral:lncRNA from 1 species
CACCAUUGCCUAAUUUCCAUUUCUCAAGUUUCAAUCUUUUCAUUUUAAACACUUCCAAUUGUGAGAAGCUGCCUUCCACACAAUUCAGGUUAAAGGAAUCCCCCUCAUAACAUCUAUCUCCCGUAAGUCUCAAAAUUUUGAGUUUGGUGAGAUUUCCCAAACCAUUCAUCCCCUCAUCACUAAUGCAACCAAUCUCUAACAACUCUAACUCCAUAACGUUUGGAGGAAAUGUGAGUGCAUAGGUCAGAAGGUAAAAAACAUAGUUAAUCAUUAAGGAAGUUAGACAAUUGAACUGCCCUAGGCUUUGCAAUAGUUCUUGCGGCUUGCAACCUUUGUCAUACUCAUACCAGAGGACAAUCUCUAACUGACUCAAAUGACUUGAUUGUUGUAGGCUUUGCAACAAUUUGGUUAAUUCACCAUCUCUGUAUUCAGAAGUCACAUACAACCUUAUCAUCUUAAGAUUGGGGAAUGUUCCUUUCUUUAUCAGAGAUGUUGCUUGUCUGUUGACUACGAAGCCAGAGAUGGUUUGAAGAUUCCACAUCUUCUCAUCUGAUCCUGAACAACUGCCUCGUAGCUUGAUACGCCCUUGUGCAUUCAAAUGCCUUAAAUGUUUAAGUUUCCACAUUUCGACUGGGAAAGAAAUUUCAGUCACAUACCUCCAAUAACUUAGGUCUAUGAUUUGUAGAUUCCAAAGGUGAAGUAUUGAAGAUGGAACAAAUGUAAAAUCAGGUGUUGCUUCAAUUCUCAAGUACCUUAAGUGGAUAAAGUUCCCAAAAUUAGAAAGGGUGGUAAGGCGGGUUGGUCCAAGCUCCAACACUCGAACCAAUUUGAAGUCUUUUGAAAGCCAUUUCCACUGCUUCCCAGUACCAAAGUCAUCUUGGCCAAAUAAGAACAGGGAUCGGAUACAUGAAUGAUCAUUGUUGCUCGAAGAAAUGUAAUGACCCACCUUACAGUGAAUGGAUAGUCUACGAGGUUUUGUCGGGAUUAGAGUGUUAUUGUCUGUGCAAAUUUCAAAAACUUUGUCCUCUUUGCUCUCUGAUAUGCAGAGGUCUCGAAGAAGAUCAUGAACGUGAACAUUUCUAUUAGUCUUCCCUUUUGCUUUUUGGACCAAACUACGAUCGAUGAGCUCAUACAAGUAGUCUUCAGCAACUUCAUCUGGGUCUCUAUUCCCUGUAUCUUGUAUAAAACCCUCCGCAACCCAUUUUUGCAAUAAUGGCGUAACAGGGAUUUGAAAGUCUUCAGGAAAUAUCCCAAGAUAGAGAAAGCAUGGUUUUAAUCUCCUUGGCAAGUUGUCAUAGCUGAGUUUGAGAACUAUAUCCUUCACCUGGGUCUCAUCUCGAGUGAGAUACCAAUUAACAUGACCCACCACUUUUGACCAUUCUCUAUGAGAUUUUUCCUUGUAGGCUAGAAGUCCUGCUAAGACAAUGAUGGAGAGCGGCAAACCACGACAACUUUGAACCAUUUGCUUUCCAAGAGUCUCCAAAUCAGAAGGGUAGUCUUCACCUCUAAACACUUUUCUGCAAAACAACUCCCAACUUUCUUUUUCAUCCAGGAACUGGAGAUGGUAAGGAAGAUCAUGGGAAGUAUGCAGUGCCACCUCUUUCAAACGACUAGUGAUCAAUACUCUGCUGCCUCUGUUGUUGUCCGGAAAAACAUCUUGCACCUCGUCCCAAUCUUGCCUUUUCCACAGGUCAUCUACCACCACAAGAUAUGUUCUACUCUCCAAGCUGUUUCGCACCAGUUUCUUCAGCUCCUCCUCACUCAAGCUACUAUUGUCUUGAGUGCUUUUCUUUCCUUUCUUCUUGCCUCUGCAUUGUUGUUCAAAAUUUGGCAUCAAAUGCUUAAGAAGGCCAAGCAAAAGCUCCCUAACUCUGCACUCGUUUGACACAUAAACCCACGCUCGACACUCGAAGUGUUGCUUCACCUCGUUGCUGUUAUAGACCUUCCGGGCAAGGGUGGUCUUGCCCAAUCCCCCCAUGCCAAUGAUAGAGACAACUUUACGAUUUGAACCACCUUCCAAGAGUCGUUUGAUGAUAUCCUUGGAGUCAUCGACAAAGCCAACCACAUUUUCUUCCUCUACAUCUCUUCUUAGCUUGUGUAAUGAUUGCGCCCUUUCCUUCUCCUCCUCCUCUUCUGCUGCAGAUUGAUUAUUGAUUUCUUUGAAAGCAUCAUAUUUGUCCUUGUUUUCGCGUAUUUCGUUGAGAGUGGUUUUGAUCUUGUCUAUUUUGUCGGCUACGUGGUGAAGCAACCUUGCUUGGGCAAAGCCACGGAGCAUCCUCCCCAGUAUGGUUCUCCUCUUGUAAAUGGCAACUUUGGCUACGAAAGUGUCGAUGACAUCCUCAGCUAGGUGGGCCACAUCUCUGAUUUGGUUCACCACUGUAUUUUCAAUUCCCUUCUUUCUCUUUGAGGUAUUGAGAAGGUCGUUGAUCAUUUGAAGCUCGUUCUGAAGGGACUGGACUCUGUCCUCCACGCCAUACAGCAAGUUAGCUUCGUGUGCCACAAGCUGGGAUAAGUGAUCCAAAACAAAAGUAACUACACUGUCUGGCAUUACACUGUCUGCCAUUACAGCAUAGACGUGCCUGCAGAUUUUGAUCUGUGCUUAGAUAAUGUGUUUGUGGUUGGUGAUGGAAGAAGAGGAAGAAUGAUUUACUAAGGAAGAAUGAAAAAACAAUGGAAGGAGAACUUGAUUGUAUAGCUUGCAGCCACACACUAAAGAAUAUAUAAUGGAAAGUGGUUGCCAUUGACUUUGCGUCAACCAUGAAUACGGUUGGAAUAUUUAUGAUGAUACAACAUUUAAUUGCAUAAUAACACCUUCCACUCAUUUAAUUGCAUAUUGCUCUGUGGCAUUGCAACAGUCCAAUUUCAAUAUUUUUAUUUAUUUAAUAUUAGUAAAACUUUCUCUUCCAAUAUGAAAUAAAUAUAAAGACAGAUGAGUAGACAUAGCAGGAAGGUGCCAUGUUACUCAGCAAUAUGAAAUUAAAUGUUUCAUAAAUAUUCCAACAACUUUUAAACUACAUUCAAAAUGGAAUUAAAUGUUUCAUAAAUAUUCCAACAAUUUUUAAACUACAUUCAAAAUAGAAUUAAAUGUUUCAUAAAUAUUCCAACAACUUUUAAUGGAAGGUUUGUAACAACGUGUUUUUUUUUAAAAAAAAAACACCAACAUGAACCUUAUCCCCCUGCACCACAAUACCUCUUUUAUUUUUUUUCUCUUUCUCUUUCUCUUUCUCUUUCUUUUUCUCUUUCUCUUUCUAAAUCUUUCCCUUCUCUCUUAAUUUUCCCCUCCCAAUCUUCAUCUAUUUUAGAAUUUGAUCGGAUCACGUUGUAGCUGGCGAGUUAAAGACCAUUUCUACCCGAUCAGAUUUUCAAACAGAGUAAGUUCAUUUUUACUCUAAAUAUCCUUUGUUCUCUGUUUUUUCUUAGGAUUUAGUCAUCAAUCUUGGUGGGGUCAGUUGAGAAGUUUAACCCUCUCAACUUAUUCUACUAUAUACUAAAUUUUGUUCUGUUUGGAUAAUUUGCAUUAGGCCCGUAAAUCUUGAAGCUUAUCCAAACGGUGGGGAAUAAAAUUCUAAAAGUUGCUUGAAAAGCAAGCAAUUGAGGUAAGGGAAGCUAAAUUUAAUUUUUUAUAGCACCCUAGGAUAGAAGAUCUGAAUGCGGAAGGGACGUGGUCCCAAUAUUGAUUUUCUCGUGCAGGGGUGUUAUUUGUUUAUAUAUUAUUUAAACUUUAUAAAUAUUAUAUUUUGAUAGCUUGAGAGUUAAAUAUUGUUUUUGACGUUGAAAAAGUUCUGGAAUGAUAUGAAUUUUUAAAUGUUAUGUGAUUGAAUGAUAUGUAUUAUAUGCGGAUGAUGUAAAUUGUAUGAAAGUGAUGUCAUACAUUUGGGAUAAUGUAUGAGUUGUUGUUUGAUGGUACGUUAAGUAUGAAAAGCCUAUGUUUAACGGAGAUCCUCUGGCUUCACUAAUGAUCUAAGUCAUGUAGACUAAGAUAUUAGGUGGUGAGAAGCUGAGAGGGAGUUCAUACACACCGGGUCCCACUGUAGACACUCGGUAUUGGAUGUUUGAACUUACCCUGAUCCUUUCUAUUAGAUUCGCUGGUAAUCUUUGGGUCAGGUGUUAGUCUCUGGUAGGGACAUACUUAAUGAGUCUUCCGGAAGAUGAAGUGGGAUUGAAAUGAAAUCCAAUGAUUGUGAUUGAAAAUAGAUCCAUGUGUGGUCUAUAUGAAUGAUGAAAUUGAUAUUGAAAUUUUACAUGACAACAUUUAAAGUAAUGUUUAUAAAUGAUUUGUUUGGUUGGUUCUUUUUGUAAGAAUUAGAUAUGAUAUGCAAUUUCUUUUCACUAGCUUACCCUUGCUUUUCUUGCUGUGUUUAAACUGCGAUGACUGUACUAUGUACACGAGCAGAUGAUCUUACAGGUAUCUGAGGAUCAAAAGAGUUUUAAGGCGUUGAUUUUGAAACUUAUAUUGUAAAUAUUUGUAUUUCUAUAUGUCCUAAUCAUGUAUUAAGAAUGUUUUGAAAAACUUUAUGCUUGUAUAGAAAUAAGUAGAAUCUGUAUUGUAAUAGUUAGAUGUAUUUUUCCGGGGUGUUACAAGGUUGGUUGAACCGUAUUCAUGGUUGACGCAAACUCAGUGCAAAAAUAAAACCAGAUAUUUUACCAAAAAUAUCUUAAUUUAAACUAAAAAUUAUUUCCCUUGAUCUUCUUCUCCUCUUGCAUUCAUUUAUUUACAUAUCUAAAACCAUAUAAUACUAGUUCGUUCAUUAUCAUUUUCUCAUUUAUAAUUUUAUAUCUAAACAAUUCAAAAAUAUGAUAUUUGUUAAGAGACUAUUUUAAAUAUAAAAUUUUAUCCACUAAUUUAGUAAAACAAUUAUGUAUAACUUUCCAUAAAAAUUUUAAAAAUAUAAAAAUUAUUUAUAUGUAUAAUUGUCAUUCUAUAAAAAAAAAUUCCAUUUAUAUACUCAUUCCAACUUUUUCUCAAUUUCAACUCUUAUAAAAGUAGAACUUUAUCUUCCAAUUUAAAUCUUUUUUUUAUUUACAUAUAAGUAUUUGUAUUGCAUUCUUUUUCUGAAUUAUGAUUUUUUACAACAAUUUUUAGAUUAUUAUUUUUAUUAUUAUAUAUGAUUGUUCGAUAAAUAAAAUAAAGCUUUUUUGAAAAAAAAUUAGGAUGUAUACAUAUAGUGUUAAAUCAACACCUUGCUUCUCUUAAGUUUUUUUAAUUUUUAAACCUUUUUUUUUAAAUAUGCAACACUCAAAUAUGACUCAAAUAUGACUUAAGAGAGAGUUUGUGUAGUAAAUAAUUAUUUAUAUGAGGUUAAAAUUACAGAAAAGCUUCAUUCACAAAACAAAUCUAAACUGAGGUUUAAAACCGAAUUUUGAACGGAGUUUUAUAUUUUUAUUUAAAAAUAUUAAAAAAUAGUUUUAAAUUUUCAAAAUAAAAAAUAUCAUCUUAAAAAAGAAAUAUUUUAAAUAAAAUUAUGAAAAAAUAUAUGUUUUAAAAAUAAAAAUUUAGAAAGAUAAUUAUAUUGAAGAAUAAUAUUUUAAUUAAAAAAAUAAAUUUUUACCUCUUUAAAUAGUGAUAUAUACUUUCUCGAACAAUAUUUUCAUAUUUUCUUGAUAGUAGUGAAUACUUCCAAUUUGAUAUAAGACAUAGUAAAAUAGCGUGGUUUUGAAUUUUAAGACUUUUUUUAUAAGAAAAACCCGAUCGAAACAUUUUUUUUUUCAAAAAUAAAAAUGAAAAAAUUAGUUUUAAAAAUAGGAAAAAGGAAAGGUUAAGAAAAUAUAUAAUUUAUAUUUUAUUAUGUUUAAACAAAAUAACUUGUAAAAAGAUAAGGAAAUUGGGAGAAAUGAUAUCCAAAUAUAUAUUAUGAAAGUUUUUGCAAUAAAUAAUUUAAAAAGACUUGGGGUCAACAGUUAUUGUUUUAUAUUUUUCCUUUUAUUUUGAGUCAACCAUGAAUAAUCUUCAACUCAACCUUCCACUCAUCACUUAUUUAACUGCACCUUCCUGCUAUGUGCCAAAUUGCCAGAGAAUAUAUAUUAUUUUCUAUUUAGAAAUUUAUAAAUUUCAUUUAUUUUAAAUUUUUAUUUAUAUAUUACAUUAAAUAAGUCACCGUAUUUAUUUAUUUAGGAUUUUGAAUAAUUUUGAAAUUCAACUUACUUUGAAUUUUUAAGUAGAAAAUUAAAUAAUUUAGAUUUUAUAUUUAUUUAAGAUUUUAAGAUUUUAUUUCUUUGAAAUUACUAGUAGAAAAUAAAACAAUUUAGAAUUUGUAUUUGUUUAGGAUUGUGGAAAAUUUAGAAAUUUUAUUAAUUUUAGAUUUUUAUCCUAUAAUGAAAUUAAAUAAUUUAGGAUAUGGAUAAAUUUUGAAACUUGAAAAUUUUCAGAAUUUUACUGAUUUUUAAUUUUAUUUAAAAAUGAUAUUAUAAGUAGAAAAUAAAAUAAUUUCAGAGUUUUUAUUUAAUUAGGAUUUUUACCAACUAUAGAAAUUUUAUUUAUUUGAGUUUUAUUUAUUUUUGUAUGACAUAAAAUAAGUUAGGAUUUGUGUUUAUUUAGAAUUUUUUAUAUUUUAGAUUUUUUUUUAUUAUUAUUUAGAAUAAUUUAAAAAAAUUAUUUAUUUCAAAUAUUUUCUUGUAAAUCUUUAUUUAAAUAUGAAAUUUAAUAAUUUAAGAUUUAUAUUUACUUAUAAUUUUAAAUAAUUUAGGUAUUUUAUUUUUUGAAUUUUUUAUUUAAGUAUGAUACUGAAUAAUUUAUUAUUUGUAAUUUUUUAAAAUUUUAAAUAAUUUAGGAAUUUUUAUUGAAAUUUUUUAUUUAAGUAUGAUAUUAAAUAAUUUAAAAUUUGUAUUUAUUUAGGAUUUUGAAUAAUUUAGAAAUUCGAUUUAUUUUAGAUUUUAUUUAAUUAAAAUAUUAAAUUAUUUAGAUUUUGUAUCUAUUUAGGAUUUUGAAAUUUUAAAAAAAUAUUAUUUAUUUAUAUAGGAAAUAAAAUAAUUUAGGAUUUAUAUUUAUUUAGAACUUGAAAAAAUAUAGAAGUUUAAUUAAUUUAGAUUUUUAUAUUAGAAUGUCAUUAAAUAUAAUUUUAGAAUUUUAUUGAUUUUCAAUUUUUAUUUAAGAAUGAUAUUAAAUUUUUUGGGACUUAUAUUUUUUAGGAUUUUAAAAAUUUACAAAAUUUUAUUUACUUUUAAUUUUUAUUUAAGUAGGAAAUAAAAUAGUUUAAGAUUUUGUAUUUAUUUAGGAUUUUAAAAAACUUAAAAAAAAUUAUUUAUUUGAUAUUUUUAUUUAAAAAUAAUAUUAAAUUAUUUAGAAUAUGUAUUUAUUUAAAAUUUUGAAUAAUUUAACAUUUUAAAAUGAUAGAAAUUUUAUUUAUUUUUGAUAUUUUUAUUUAAGUAUGUCAUAAAAUAAGUUAGGCACCGGAGAAAGCAAUGGCUUGUAGCUUGCAACCACACACUAAAUGAUAUCCAAAUAAUUUAAAAAGACUUGGGCUCAAGAAUUGUUGUUUUAUAUUUUUCCAUAUAUAUGUGCCAAAUUGAUAUAUAUAUAUAUAUAUAUAUAUAUCUUACCAAUUUCUUAUCACUCAUAAUAAUAACGUAAUAAAAAUUAGAAUAUGAUAAUCAAAUGACUUUAAUUUAGUGGUUAGAGGUAUCCUGGUUAGUGGUCCUAAGUUUAAGUCUCACCUACAACAAAAUGGUAAUAAUAAUAGAUUGUAAUAAUUAGAAAUAAUAAUUGUAAAUGAUUAAUAAUAUUUUUAAUAUUAAUAAUAAUUAAUAACACUAAUAAUUACCGACAAAAGAUUUUAUUGGUAAAUUUACCGAUAGAAUAUUUUUCGUCAAUAAAUUUACCGACAAACAUAUUAUUUAUAAAUUUUUAUCUGUCGUUUUUUCAUCGGUAAUGUAUACUUGUUGACGGAUUUUUGGUCUUACCUAUGGAUUAGACCGUUGAUUAUAUGUUUUUUUUUUAGUAUGUGAAACUUUUAUCACUAGUCCAUUCAUUUCUUACUUUUAAACUAAAUAAUCUUAAAGUUGCUAACAAUCUUGUGAAGUUAUUGAAUACUGGAUAAUUGUUUCUCCAAAUCAAGCAUAAAAGAAUCAUACACAUGUAUUCUUCCAAAAUUUUGUUACCACCAUCAUGUAUCCUUUCCUUUAAAUUAUCGUUUAUCCCUUCUUUAAUAUUUUUUAUCGUCAACAUAAUUUGAGUGACUAAUAUUUUUUCGUGUCGUAUACGUAUUGUAUAACUCUUAACAAUAUAAAAGAUAAAUCGAUGAUAAUUAUAAUAUCCCAACUAUUAUAUGAAUAAUUGUUAUUUGAUUCUUUGAUUUCUUGAAAUUAUAUCAUGCUUGUUAUGAUGUGUUGUUAGGAUUUGUUGUAAUUUUUUUCUUUUGUUUGCAUUGUAUUCCUUUUAUAUCUUGUGAGUCCAUAAAGUGUUUUUCCAGGAAUGCAAAAGGAUGAGUGUGGCGGUAUUUGAUGAUCAUAUAUUUACUCAUACUUAAUAGCUUUAAUCAUAGAUGUCUUUGACUAAAAUCAUGUAUAACUCUACUAUUUUAAGUAAGAAUCAUCUAACUGGGUUUAUUUGGACCUUAACUAUUAUUUAUGAUAAUAUUGUAAUUUAGUCCCAGUAGACGGUCCAAUGCUUCUCAGAGUUCAUUGGAUGGUCUAAUAAGAGCGUUUGCUAAAGAGUUUUAAGGAAGUUUUUAUCUCUACAAGUGGGUUGAAUAUGCGAAAGUCCAAGUUGCUUAUUUGAAUCAAAGAGAAAAAAAAAAUCUUAAGGGAAGAAUUAGAGAAUAAAAUCUAAUAUAUCAUAAACAGAAUUGGAAGCAAAUCUUUUGCAAAAUACAAAGAAACAUAGUUCAUGACGAAAGUGAAAAUAAAAUUUAGGAAUUCUGAAAAGUUAAAAACUUAAAAAUCGAAGCAAUAUCUAAACUGAAAUAUAUUUUUGAGAUCCUUGAAACAAAGAAACCUACAAAAGGAUGUAAGCUUCAAGGAGAAAGGGGAAAGUUUCAGAGCUUAACACAAUGCAUUCGAAAAACAGAGCAUUAGAGUUUUCUUAGGUUUUAUUUGUUUUUCUUCGUUAUAAUUCUUUCAUUUACCUUCGUAUGGAAGGUUAAACUCAUUCAUGUUGAUUCUCUUGUGACUUUGCAAUGAAUUUUGAGAUUUGUGUUCAAUAAAGUUUUAUUCUUAAAUUCUAUGUAGCAAUACAUGUAAAAAGGUUUGGUCUUUUUGAAUUUUGAUUUUUUUUAAAGAAUUUUCUUUGAACAAUUGUUAAGAAUUCUGUUAUUUUAAUUAAUUGGAGUUUUUGGUUAGUUUAUUUUACAUGCGGGUUAGACCGCAGUUCGCUACCUCUCCUCCCAGAAGUUUGCUACUAACUUCCUGCUAGAACAAAUACAGUCUGACUAACCUAAAUAAAUCACUUAUGUUUAAUUGAAUACAUACAAACUAGGGGAUCUAGACACCAACAGAAAAGGAAAAACAAGAAGGGACUUUAGAGGUUACCCAGGACCAGACUUUUAGUUGAGCCAUGGAGUUAGUAUGAAGAGUGACAGUGGAUUUAGUUUUAGGUAAAGUCUUAUAUUUAAAAUUUGUUAAUAAAAAAUAAUAUAAAAAAAAGAUUUCAAUAGGAUAGUUAAAAAAUUAGUCAUCUUCAUUAAAAUAUUCGUAUACAUUUACAUACAUAUAUAGAAAAAAUAGAUGCAAAACAAUAAUUUUAAUUAUUUUUAAUCAAACAUUCUAACAAUCCCUAUACUUCAACUUAUAUUUUAAUCUUAAUUGAAUGAAUUGAAACAUGAAUAAAAUUUUAACUUUUCAGUAGUAGAAAUAAUUAUUUUUUUAAUUAAUGAAAUUUUAAUUUUUGAAAAAAAAUAUUUUUCUUAUGCGGGCUGGCUCACAGGCCUGCGGGUUAUUUCUUAUGUGGGACGAGUCAGUGAAAUGAGUCCGCACUUGUUGUAUGGGGCGUGCUAACACAGUCCGCAUUUUGUGGGCCAAACGCAGGACGAGCCAACCCUCAUUGUCACCCCUAGUUUAUUUAAUUAUAAUCAAUCUUUUGUUCACUUAGUCAAGAGAUAAACGAUAAACAUUUCACAAGUAGAUGCUUGGAACUUGUGAGAUACUAAAUACAUCAGUAAACGAUUGUUUUGAUAAUAAGAUUAUGUUGACUUGGUUUGUUGAUAAGAUUCUAUUAAAUUCUAUUGACACUUGUUUGGUUAAGUUUGACAUUAUGUAAAAAUUGAAAAAAGUGAACAUCUUAAGAAAAUCAAUAAUAAAUUCAAUGUUGAAUGAACUUAAGAGUUGGACUGGAUUUUUUUUACUAUUUUUCAAUUAUGUACUUUAUUUUUCUACACAAUAAUCUCAAUCUUUUUAUUUUCAUUAUUUUUUCUCACCAUUUUGAUUGCAAAUAAGUUUUGAAUGCUAUCUUAACUAGAUUCAGUAGUGGAUUUGUUGGAAGAUGACUUGGAGUCAUCUAACCUUAACUACACUAUCAUUUUUCUAUGAUAUUCGACGAUUUACGUGAAUCAUUUUAAUUUCACCACUAAAUGAUAGUUAUCACAUAUCAAUGCUUAUUUAUAGAUUAAAAUAAAAUCUUAUUUUAAAUUUUGUAUAAAAUAAUUUCAUACAAAUAAAACAACAUACUAAUGUACAUAUUAAAGAAUCACCACACUAAAGUAUCAUAAAAAUGAAAUAAUUCCCCUUUAAAUUUUUUUAAAUCAGCAUACCAAUGUUAUAAGAAAAAAUUCAAAAUAUAAUUAUUAAAUAUUGAAUAUUUAUCCUCAAAUGUGAAAAAGGAAAGUUCAAUGAAGACACCAAAGAAAAAUGAAGAUGAAAAACGAUUAACCUUCACAAUGGUGAAGAGAACAAAUGGUAAGUCUUCACAUUUUACGACAAUAUCAACAAUCAUAAUCAAUAGAGACAACAAAGACCACAACUAUCACAAGAAAAAUAACAAUAAUAAUAAUAAAUGAGACAAAAAAUAUUAUAUUUAUUUUAGUGUAUUGAAAAUAAUAUAAUUUUACCAUAACUUAUUUUUUAAAUUGAAUAUUAUAUUUCCUCAUCAACCUCAAUAUGUAAUAAGGAUAAAUCUAAACAAUGAUAGUAGUAUGUAAAUAAUGACAAAUUUUUUGUAGUUAGAAAAAAAAUCAACUAUAAACCGCAAUGAUUGUUUUAUUGAUAAAAUCUUUAAAUUUUUGUAUAAUAUUGUAUAUCUAAAAUAUAAAAAUAUAUUUAACUAUUUUUUAAAGUUAUAGAAUUAAGAUUGAAAUAUUGAUAAUAUUUAAUAAUUAGUUAAACUUUUUUCUUUACAUAAAGCUUCCACACUUCUUUCAUUUCACAUUCUCAAAAGCAAAUACAAAACCUGUUAAAUAGGCAACAAGAAAAAAAAAAGGAGAAAUAACUGCGAAAGUGUAUUUAAUUAUUAUUGAUUUCUAGUUUUGAACGAAAUCUUAUUAAUUUAAAAACUAAUAAGAAACUAAUUAAGGGUAUGUAAUUUGUAAAAGUUUAAUUAUAAUGAUGAAAAUGUUCAAAUGAAAUGAAUUUAGUUAUAUAUAAAACCAUUGAAAAUAGUAUUAUUUUUACUAUGAAUUCAAACGAGUUUAAUCAACAAUGUAAAUUUCUUUAUUUCUUAUCUAAUAUAAAAUAAUAUUUUUAUAUAACCAAUUUAAAUUGAUUGGCUUAAUAAUUUAUAUACAUAAUUGUGAUAAUCGAAUUUAUGAUAGAUUAAUAUUGAAGUUAAAAUAAUGAUUUGAUCUAAUAGAAAAAGAAGCAUCUAAUUUAUUCUAUUCUUGAACUUUAAAAUAGAUAUUAUAAUUGACACUUAGGACCUCAUCUUAGAAAAGCGAGCCAAAUAAUUUUUUCCAAAAAUAACAAUGAAAAGUAGUAUUAAAAAAUAGGAAAAACAAAGUUUAAGAAAAUAUAUAAUUUAUAUUUGAUUAUUAAAAAGACUUGGGUCAACGGUUAUUGUUUUAUAUUUUUUCAUUUAAUAGAAACUAAUUUAAAUUUUUUUUUUAGUUUUUAAAACGGUCUUUUUAAUUUAGUAACUAAUUAUUUGAUAUCUAAAAUUGAUUUUUAUUUAAUUUUGUAGUGCAUUGAAAAAUAAAUUUUUUAAAAAAAGUAAAUAUUUACCUCUUAAAAUAAUGAUAUAUUCUUUCUCUAACAAUAUUUUCUUCAUAGUAAAUUCAAAUCUUAUAUAAGACAUACUAAAAUAGCGUGGCCUUAAUUUUUAUUUAAGACUUUAUUUUAUAAGAAAAAAUAGGGAAAGCAAAUAGGGAAGACCAUACGGGCCGUUCUGUGGCCCACUAGUAAAAAAUACGGGGUGGUUGUAGUUUUUCAACUCGCUAACUCGCUUUAUCUCGUCCCGCAUAAUCCCAGUCUGGACAGGGUAGGCUGGCCCGCUAGCCCGCAAAAAGAAUUAUGUAUUAAUAGGUUUUCAUUUUCCAUUCAUAUUCAUUCAUUCCAAAGCUAUUUUUAAUGUUUUUGAAAUAAAAGAAUAUUAAUAUUUGAUUUUUAUCUUCAUUGAAUUAUUGAUGUUAAACUAUGUUUGAAAUGGAAGAAAAAAAUAUUGAUGUUUGAUAAUGGUAAAUACAAGUUCAAUUUAACAAUUUUUCAAAAACAAAAAAUAUAAAUAUUUUUAUUAAAUUUCUAAAAAAAAAAAAAAUGAACCGUUGACCCACAAACUUGCGGACGGACUCUUAUAUGGGACAGAAUAGAGAAUCCAUUCAUUACUCGACCGACCCACUUUGCCAUCCUAAAAAAAAGUGAGCCGAACAAUUUUUUCGAAAAUAACAAUGCAAAAGUAGUUUUAGAAUGGAAAAGAAAAGUUUGAGAAAAUAUAUAAUUUAUAUUUUAUUAUACAUUAAAAUUGGUUAGAAAGUUAAGAUAAAAGUUAAAAGGGUAACUGAUACUGGAUGCCAAACAAUCAGCCACUAGCUUAAAAUCAAUUAACUCUAGCAGAAAGUUUUUAAACAAGAUUAUUAAAUUAUAAAUACUUGAUUAAAUUAUCUUCAUAAUCAUAAAUAUAGAAUUAUAGAAAUAUAUAUAAGUUCAUACGGUACUUCAUAUAAAUUAUAUUUUUAUUUUAUUUUAUUGUUAAAAAUUUAUUUCCGAAUAUUUAUCAUUUUAAUUUUUAACUAGUCUUAAACUUUUAUAUUUUCUAUUUAAAAAUCAAUCAUUUUAAUUAUAUUUUUUAUAUUGUGUAUUCUAUCAUUCAUAUGACGUAAUAUUGUAAAAUAUUUUCAAACAAAAUUUUAAACAAGAAAAAUAUCAUAUUUUUAAAUAGACACACGUAUUGUGUUACUCGGUUAAAAACAUUUUAAUAUGAAAAAAUAGUGUCCAUCAGAGGUUAAUAUUUUAAAAUUUAUUAGUAAACUAAUGAAAUGAAUAUUGUGAAUAGUAUAAUCAUUAAAAUAAGUAGUGUGAUAUAAAAAUAUUAGAAUGAGAAUUACAUUACAUAAUAUUAUUAUUAUUGAUAUGUAUUAUUAUUAUUGAUAUGUUAUGUGGUAAAAAGGUAAAUCAAUACAUAAAAUAAUUGAAACUGAAAAUAGAAAAAGCAAGUGUAUAAAUUAGUUGAUAACAGAUUAAAAAAAAAACUAAAUGAUAUACUACAUAUGUUAAUUAAUUUAUUUUGGUUAAUUAUUAAGGACACACUAAAUUCAUUAAAGGGUUUAAACGAAAAAUAAAGGGUAAAAUUGAAAUUAAAAAAUAAGAAUGUUUCUUAAAAAAAGUAAUAGGGUAUUGGAUUAAUUUCCGCAAUAAUAUAUGACGCGUAAUCUCUGUUGGCAUGAAGGUCGUCGUCACCUAAUUUUUCCUUCAUUCAAACCUGCAAAGAAAUGUCUUCAAUCUUUUGCCCCUUUCACAUCAUGCUACCUACAAUUGUCUUAUUUUCUAAAAUACUUUCUAAAUUAAUUUAUAUUAUUCUUAAAUAGUUUUUAAAUUGGUAUCUAAUUAACAAUCAAGGUUUUAAAACUUUGGUUGCUAAUUAGAUACCAAUUUAGAAACUAUUUAACAAUCAUAUAAAUUAAUUUAGAAAGUAAUUUUUUUUUAAUUUUUAAAGUGGUCUAUAAUUUAGUUAUUAUUGUGACUAAUUAUUUUAGUAUCUAAAAAUUGGUUUAUAUUUCAUGAUUUUCUUUUUAGUGUAAGCACCCGAUAAAACAAUGGAAAGAGACUUCAAUUUCAAUUGGAGCUUGUAGCCACAUACUAAAGAAUAUCUAAAUAUGUAUAAGGGAAAGUGGGUUCAAGAGUUUUGGUUUUAAAUUUGCAUCAGAAGCUUCCCCUUAAGUACAUAAUGGCACCUUCCACUCAUUUUCCCUUGAAGUAUUUACUUUUAUGAGAGUAGAACAGUGUUCAGUUUCUUUCCACGUUAUUAGAUGCAAUGAAACAACAUAUAUACCCUACCAAUUUCUCAUCAUUAAUAUCUUAUAUGCACAAUUUACAUACAAAAACUAAUUAAUAUACUAAAUAUGUUAAUUAAUUUCUUCCUUUUGGUUAAUUAAUAAGGUCACACUAAAUUCAAUAAAAGGUUUAAACAAAAAAUAAAGGGUAUACUCAAUUCAAAUUCAAAAAUAACAAUGUUUCUAUAAAAAAGUAAUAGGGUAUUCGAUUAAUAUUCUUAAAUGUAAAUUCUUUUUAAAUAUGCAAUAAAAUGAUAUGGUAUUUAAAUGAAUAAUUAAGAAAAAUUACAAAAAAAAAGCACGAUCUUAAAAAUCAUACAAAUUUUAAUGAAUUAUUUAUUUUAUUGAACUUUUGUAAAAUCUGCAUGGUUUUUUUAUUUAUAUGUGUAAUUGUCAUUCUAUAAAACAGUUCCAUUUUUAUAUACUCAUUCAAACUUUUUCUCAAUUUCAACUAUGAUAAAGUAGAACUUUCUCUUCCAUUUUUUUUAUUUACAUAUAAGUAAUUGUAUUGCAUUAUUUUUCUGAAUUGUGAUUUUCUACAAACAAUUCUUAGAUUAUUAUUUUUAUUAUUAUAUAUGAUUGUUCGUUAAAUAAAAGUAAAGUUUUUUUAAAAAAAAUUUAGUCUGUAUACAUAUACUGUUAAAUCAACACCUUGUUUCUCUUAGAUUUUUUAAUUUUUAAACUUUUUAAAAAAUAUGUAACACCCAACACGGUACAAUAAAAAAUAAAUUUGUAAUUAGAUAAUAUAAAAAAUAUUAAAUUAAUAUUAUUAGAAAUGAUAAAAUAAUUAUAUAAAAAAUGUGAAUUCUCAUUAUAUCAUUAAUUAUCCGAAGCCAUGUAAUUUCAUUUAAUGAGCAAUAUGCAAUUACAUGUUUUAUAAAUAUUCCAACAACUUUUAAACUACUUUUAAAAUGAAUGGAAGGUUGUGGUUGAUGCAAACUCAGUGCAAAAAUAAAACCAGAUAUUUUUUGUAAAAUAUCUUAAUUUAAUCUAAAAACCAAUAUAAAACCUCUUUUACGUUUGUUAUUAUAAUAAGUUUUUAAUUAAAAAAAUGUAAGCAUUCUUAUUUCCCUUCAUCUUCUUCUCCUCUUACAUUCAUUUAUUUACAUAUCUAAAACCAUAUAAUACUAGUUCGUUCAUUAUCAUUUUCUCAUUUAUAAUUUUAUAUCUAAACAAUUCAAAAAUAUGAUAUUUGUUAAGAGACUAUUUUAAAUAUAAAAUUUUAUCCACUAAUUUAGUAAAACAAUUAUGUAUAACUUUCCAUAAAAAUUUUAAAAAUAUAAAAAUUAUUUAUAUGUAUAAUUGUCAUUCUAUAAAACAAUUCCAUUUAUAUACUCAUUCAAACUUUUUCUCAAUUUCAACUCUGAUAAAAGUAGAAAUUUAUCUUCCAAUUUAAAUCUUUUUUUUAUUUACAUAUAAGUAUUGCAUUAUUUUUCUGAAUUAUGAAUUUUUACAACAAUUUUUAGAUUACUAUUUUUAUUAUUAUAUAUGAUUGUUCGAUAAAUAAAAUAAAGCUUUUUUUUUUUAAAUUUAGGAUGUAUACAUAUAGUGUUAAAUCAACACCUUGUUUCUCUUAAGUUUUUUUAAUUUUAAACAUUUUUUUAAAAAUAUGCAACACUCAAAUAUGACUUUAGUAAGGAAUGAGACUUAAAGAGAGAGUUUGUGUAGUAAAUAAUUAUUUAUAUGAGGUUAAAAUUACACAAAACUUCAUCCACAAAACAAUCUAAAGUGAGGUUUAAAACCGAAUUUUGAACGGAGUUUUAUAUUUUUAUUUAAAAAUAUUAAAAAAUAGUUUUAAAUUUUCAAAAUGAAAAAUAUUAUCUUAAAAAAAAAUAUUUUAAAUAAAAUUAUGAAAAAAUAUAUGUUUGCAAAAAUAAAAAUUUAGAAAGAUAAUUAUAUUAAGAAAUAAUAUUUUAGAAAAAUAAAUAUUUAAUACCUCUUUAAAUAGUGAUAUAUACUUUCUCGAACAAUAUUUUCUUGAUAGUAGUGAAUACUUCCAAUCUCAUAUAAGACAUACUAAAAUGGCGUGGCCUUGAAUUUUAAGACUUUUUUUUUAUAAGAAAAAACGAUCGAAACAUUUUUUUUUUCAAAAAUAAAAAUGAAAAAAGUAGUUUUAAAAAUAGGAAAAAGGAAAGAUUAAGAAAAUAUAUAAUUUAUAUUUUAUUAUGUUAAAAGAGAAUAACUUAUAGAAAGAUAAGGAAAUUGGGAGAAAUUUGAGUGUUUAUUGAAGAAUUAAAUUAGGUAUUAUAUAAGGCAGCGGAGAAACCUAAAUUAUUACACACUAAUAAUUUAAAAAUGAUAUCCAAAUAUAUAUUAUGAAAAAUGGUUCCAAUAAAUAAUUUAAAAAGACUUGGGGUCAACAGUUAUUGUUUUCUAUUUUUCCACUGAUUUUGGAUAUUUUAAAUUUUUUAUUAUUAUCAUUUACAAUAAUUUAAAAAAUUAUUUGUUUCAGAUAUUUUAUUUAAGUAGGAUAUUUAAUAAUUUAAGAUUUGUAUUCGCUUAAAAUUUUGAAUAAUUUAGGAAUUUUAUUUAUUGUGAAUCUUUAUUUAAAUAUGAAAUUUAAUAAUUUAAUAUUUAUAUUUACUUAUAAAUUUUAAUAAUUUAGGUAUUUUAAUUUUUAAAAUUUUUUAUUUAAGUAUGAUAUUGAAUAAUUUAAUAUUUGUAAUUUUUUAAAAUUUUAAAUAAUUUAGGAUUUUUUAUUUAAGUAUGAUAUUAAAUAAUUUAAAAUUUGUAUUUGUUUAAAAUUUUGAAUAAUUUAGAAAUUCGAUUUAUUUUAUAUUUUAUUUAAUUAAAAUAUUAAAUUAUUUAGAUUUUGUAUCUAUUUAGGAUUUUGAAAUUAAAAAAAAAUAUAAUUUAUUUUAUAUUAUUAUUUAUAUAGGAAAUAAAAUAAUUUAGAAUUUAUUUUUAUUUAGAACUUGGGAAAACAUAGAAGUUUAAUUAAUUUAGAUUUUUAUAUAAGAAUGUCAUUAAAUAUAAUUUGAGAAUUUAUUUGAUUGUCAAUUUUUAUUGAAGAAUGAUAUUAUAUUUUUUGGGACUUAUAUUUAUUUAGGAUUUUAAAAACUUAUAAAUUUUAUUUAGUUUUAAUUUUUAUUUAAGUAGGAAAUAAAAUAGUUUAAGAUUUUGUAUUUAUUUAGGAUUUUAAAAAACUUAAAAAAAUUUAUUUAUUUGAUAUUUUUAUUUAAGAAUGACAUUUAAUUAAUUAGAAUAUGUAUUUAUUUUGAAUAAUUUAACAUUUUAAAAAGAUAGAAAUUUUAUUUAUUUUUGAUAUUUUUAUUUAAGUAUGUCAUAAAAUAAGUUAGGCACCGGAGAAAGCAAUGGCUUGUAGCUUGCAACCACACACUAAAUGAUAUCCAAAUAAUUUAAAAAGACUUGGGCUCAAGAAUUGUUGUUUUAUAUUUUUCCAUAUAUAUGUGUCAAAUUGAUAUAUAUAUAUAUAUAUAUAUAUAUAUAUAUAUAAUAUAUUUAUUUAUUUAUUUAUUUAUUUAUUGCUGCUUGGAUGAAAUAGACUAAAUAUAUAUCUUACCAAUUUCUCAUCACUCGUAAUAACAACGUAUUAAAAAUUAGAAUAUGAUAAUGAAAUGACUUUAAUUUAGUGGUUAGAGGUAUCUGGUUAGUGGUCCUAAGUUUAAGUCUCACCUACAACAAGAUGGUAAUAAUAAUAUAUUCUAAUAAUUAGAAAUAAUAAUCGUGAAUGAUAAAUAAUAUUUUUAAAUUAAUAAUAAUUAAUAACACUAAUAAUUAUCGACAGAAUAUUUUAUUGGUAUAUUUAUCGAUAGAAUAUUUUUCGUCAAUAAAUUUAUCGACAAACAUAUUAUUAGUAAAUUUUUGUCUGUUUUUUUUCAUCGGUAAUACAUGCUUACCAUCGGAUUUUUAUCUUAUCUAUGGAUAAGACUGUUGAUAAUAUGUUUUUUUUUAGUAUGUGAAACUUUUAUCAUUAGUCCAUUCAUUUCUUACUUUUAAACUGAAUAAUCUUAAAGUUGCUAACAAUCUUGUGAAGUUAUUGAAUAUUGGAUAAUUGUUUCUCCAAAUCAAGCAUCAAAGAAUCAUACACAUGUAUUUUUCCAAAAUUUUGUUACAACAAUCAUGUAUCAUUUCCUUUAAAUUAUCGUUUAUCCCUUCUUUAAUAUUUUUUAUCGUCAACAUAAUUUGAGUGACUAAUAUUUUUUCAUGUCGUAAAUAGCUCUUAACAAUAUCAAAGAUAAAUCGAUGAUAAUUAUAAUAUCACAACUAUUAUAUGAUAUGAAUAAUUGUUAUUUGAUUCUUUGAUUUCUUGAAAUUAUAUCAUGCUUGUUAUGAUGUGUUGUAAUUUUUUCUUUUGUUUGCAUUGUAUUCCUUUUAUAUCUUUUGAGUCCAUAAAGUGUUUUUCCAUGACUGCAAAAGGAUGAGUAUGACGGUAUUUGAUAAGCAUAUAUUUACUCACACUUAAUAGUUUUAAUCAUAGAUGUCUUUGACUAAAAUCAUGUAUAACUCUACUAUUUUAAGUAAGAUUCAUCUAACUUGGUACAUUGGAUGGUCUAAUAAGAGCGUUUGCUAAAGAGUUUUAAGGAAGUUUUUAUCUCUACAAGUGGGUCGAAUAUGCGAAAGUCCAAGUUACUUCUUUGAGUCAAAAUGAGAAAAAAAAAUCUCAGGGGAAGAAUUAGAGAAUAAAAUCUAAUAUAUCAUAAAUAGAAUUGGAAGUAAAUCUUCUGCAAAAUACAAUAAAAAACAUAGUUCACGAUGAAAGUGAAAAUAAAAUUUAGGAAUUCUGCAAAAGUUGAAAACUUAAAAUUCGAUGCAAUAUCUAAACUGAUAUAUAUUUUUGAGAUCCUUGGAACAAAGAAACCUACAAAAGGAUGUAAGCUUCAAGGAGAAAUGGGAAAGCUUCAAAACUCAACACAAUGCAUUCAAAAAACAGAGCAUUAGAGUUUUCUUAGGUUUUAUUUGUUUUUCUUCAUUAUAAUUCUUUCGUUUACCUUCAUAUGGAAGGUUAAACUCAUUCAUGUUUAUUCUCUUGUGAUUUUGCAGUGAAUUUUGAGAUUUGUGUUCAAUAAGGUUUUAUUCUUAAAUUCUAUGUAGCAAUUCAUGUAAAAAGGUUUGGUCUUUUUUAAUUUCGAUUUUUGUUAAAGAAUUGUCUUUGAACAAUUGUUAAGAAUUUUGUUAUUUUCUUUAAUUGGAGUUUUUGGUUAGUUUAUUUUAGGGAUAACAAUGCAGAACAAGUCAUGUGGGUUAGACCGCAGUCCGCUACCAAAAACUGCAGGACGAGCUUACUAAUAUAGCCCGCUGACCCGCCCGCAUAACCUGCAACGGGGCAAGGCGGGGCGGGUUGGCCCACUGGCUCGCAUAAAUAAAAAAUUUAUUAUUAUUUGUUUAGUAUAAAAAAAAUCAUACCUCAUUCACCCAUUAUUGCAAUGACAUUUAUUUUAUUUUAUUUUAAAAAAAUUGAAUUUAAUGUACUAAAAAAAGAAUGUUUUAUUUUAAUCAUUUAAAAGAGUUAGUUUUUUUUUAUCAACAAUAAAAAAAAACACUUUAGGGUUGAUCCAACCCAUGUAAAAAAUUGCACAGAAACAAACAACCUCUCCUCCCAGAAGUUUGCUACUAACUUCCUGCUAGAACAAAUACAGUCUGACUAACUUAAAUAAAUCACUUAAGUUUAAUUGAAUACAUACAAACUAGGGGAUCUAGACACCAACAGAAAAGGAAAAACAAGAAGGGACUUUAGAGGUUACCCAGGACCAGACUUUUAGUUGAGCCAUGAAGUUAGUAUGAAGAGUGACAGUGGAUUUAGUUUUAGGUAAAGUCUUAUAUUUAAAAUUUGUUAAUAAAAAAUAAUAUAAAGAAGAGAUUUCAAUAGGAUAGUUAAAAAAUUAGUCAUCUUCAUUAAAAUAUUCGUAUAUAUUUACAUACAUAUAUAGAAAAAAUAGAUGCAAAACAACAAUUUUAAUUAUUUUUAAUCAAACCUUCUAACAAUCCCCAUACUUCAACUUAUAUUUUAAUCUUAAUUGAAUGAAUUGAAACAUGAAUAAAAUUUUAACUUUUCAGUAGUAGAAAUAUUUUUUUUUAUAAUUAAUGAAAUUUUAAUUUUUGAAAAAAAAAUAAUUUUCUUAUGCGGGCUGGCUCGCAGGCCCGCGGGUUAUUUCUUAUGUGGGACGGGUCAGUGAAAUGAGUCCGCACUUGUUGUAUGGGGCGUGCUAACACAGUCCGCAUUUUGUGGGCCAAACGCAAGACGGGCCUAUGCGGGGCGAGCCAACCCUCAUUGUCACCCCUAGUUUAUUUAAUUAUAAUCAAUUUUUUGUUCACUUAGUCAAGAGAUAAACGAUAAACAUUUCACAAGUAGAUGCUUGGAACUUGUGAGAUACUAAAUACAUCAGUAAACGAUUGUUUUGAUAAUAAGAUUAUGUUGACUUGGUUUGUUGAUAAGAUUCUAUUAAAUUCUAUUGACACUUGUUUGGUUAAGUUUGACAUUAUGUAAAAAUUGAAAAAAGUGAACAUCUUAAGAAAAUCAAUAAUAAAUUCAAUGUUGAAUGAACUUAAGAGUUGGACUGGAUUUUUUUUACUAUUUUUCAAUUAUGUACUUUAUUUUUCUACACAAUAAUCUCAAUCUUUUUAUUUUCAUUAUUUUUUCUCACCAUUUUGAUUGCAAAUAAGUUUUGAAUACUAUCUUAACUAGAUUCAGUAGUGGAUUUGUUGGAAGAUGACUUGGAGUCAUCUAACCUUAACUACACUAUCAUUUUUCUAUGAUAUUCGACGAUUUACGCUUGAAUCAUUUUAAUUUCACCACUAAAUGAUAGUUAUCACAAAUCAAUGCUUAUUUAGAGAUUAAAAUAAAAUCUUAUUUUAAAUUUUGUAUAAAAUAAUUUCAUACAAAUAAAACAACAUACUAAUGUACAUAUUAAAUAAUCACCACACUAAAGUAUCAUAAAAAUGAAAUAAUUCUCCUUUAAAUUUUUUUAAAUCAGCAUACCAAUGUUAUAAGAAAAAAUUCAAAAAUAUAAUUAUUAAAUAUUGAAUAUUUAUCCUCAAAUGUGAAAAAGAAAAGUUCAACGAAGACACCAAAGAAAAAUGAAGAUGAAAAACGAUUAACCUUCACAAUAGUGAAGAGAAUAAAUGAUAAGUCUUCACAUUUUACGACAAUAUCAACAAUCAUAAUCAAUGGAGACAACAAAAACCAUAACUAUCACAAUAAAAAUAACAACAACUGAGACAAAAAAUAUUAUAUUUAUUUUAGUGUAUUGAAAAUAAUAGAAUUUUACCAUAACUUAUUUUUUAAAUUGAAUAUUAUAUUUCCUCAUCAACCUCAAUAUGUAAUAAGGAUAAAUCUAAACAAUGAUAGUAGUAUGUAAAUAAUGACAAAAUCUUUGUAGUUGAAAAAAAAUCAACUAUAAACCGCAAUGAUUGUUUUAUUGAUAAAAUCUUUAAAUUUUUGUAUAAUAUUGUAUAUCUAAAAUAUAAGAAUAUAUUUAACUAAUCACCAACAUAAAAAGUGUUGGCGAAGACUAUACGUAAAAUGCUACAAAUGUAAUUAACGAAUCAACGGUUACAUUUAUAAAAGAAAUACAAAUGUGAUAAGUUGUGGAGGAUAAAUUAAUAUAUAUAUAUAUAUAUAUUUUGUAACAUUAUGUUUUCUAAUCAACAAAUUUUAAAAAAAAAGAUUGAUUUAUAAUAGUGAUUGUACAAAUCAUAUGAUUAAUUUUUUUCAAAAAGCUCAACAAAUUUAAUAUUUUAAAGUAAGAAUUAAAAAUGAAGACCCAUUUAUUUUGGAAGAUAUAGAAACAAUUGCAAUUGAAAUUUAUUUAGGUAUCAAAUUACCUUUUAAUGUCUUGAUAUUAAUCUUUUGAUUUGUUAAUAGUUGUUCAACUUUAAAGAAAGGUUAAUAAAAAUAGAUUUGAUGAAAGAAAAGUUAACUAUAAAUGAAAAGAAUGAUUUAAAAUUAAAAAAAGAUGGAUAUUUCUUGAAGAAAUUUGAUGUCCAAGAAGAAAAACUAGAAAAAAAAAACACAUUUUAACAUCAUCAAAGAUUUCAAUGUUACUACCAUGAAAUGAGAUUAAUAAAAAAGAAAUAUAAUGAAAGAAUUAAAUAGAAAAAGAAAGAAAAAUGAAGCACUAAAAAAAGACAAUUAAAUCUUGAAUUUAAAAUUCAAAUAAAGAGCUAUUAAGAUAAAGAAGAAUGUUAAUAUUUGCUUCAUUUUAUUUUAAUUAAUUUGUAAAUAAUCUUUUAAUUUUUUAAACGUUCUAUACAAAAUAUAAAAAAGGAAUUUAAUUAUUAUUAAUAUUCUAUUCGACAUAUAGAAUAUUUUACUCCAAGUAUAAAAUAUCAAAAUAAAAUAAAUAACAAAUUCUUUCAUAAUAAUAUAUAUAAUAAAAAUAAAAUAAAUAAGAACCUCAAAUAUUAUAUAUUUCUUAUAUCAUCAACAAAGCUAUUUAUUACAAUAAAGUAUCACGAUCUUCCUCUAGGAUGAGUUCAACCCCAUUGUUUGUUUCUAAAUUCCGUAGCGUGUCAUACAUUUGUUUCGAGCAUUCCCUUACAUUUACUCUUCUCAAGCCACUCAAAGACCAAAGUUCAUUUGGGAGAUCAUCUAAGCUUUCACAAUUGUAGAUGAUCAAACUUUGAAGCCUUGACAUUCCACCAUUGCCUAAUUUCCACUUUUCAAGACUCAAAUAUGCCAUUUCAAAAACUUCCAAUUUUGGGAAGCUGCCUUCCACACAAUUCAGGUCAAAGGAAUCCCCCUUAUAUAGAGGUCCCCAAAGUUCCAAAAUUUUGAGUUUGGUGAGAUUUCCCAAACCAUUCAUCCCCUCAUCAGUAAUGCGGUUAAUCUCUGACAACUCUAACUCCAUAACGUUUGGAGGAAAUGUGAAUGCACAAGUCAGAAGGUCAAAAACAUUUUCAAUAAUUAAGAAAGUUAUACAAUUGAACUGCCCUAGGCUUUGCAACAGUUCUUUCGGCUUGCAACCUUUGUCAUAAAUAUCCCAGAGGACAAUCUCUAACUUACUCAAAUGACUUGAUUGUUGUAGGCUUUGCAACAAUUUGGUUAUUUCAUCAUCUUUGUAUUCAGAAGUCACACACAACCUUAUCAUCUUAAGAUUGGGGAAUGUUCCUUUCUUUAUCAGAGAUGUUGCUUGUCUGUUGACUACGAGGUCAGAGAUGGUUUGAAGAUUCCACAUCUUCUCAUCUGAUCCUGAACAAUUGCCUCGUAGCUUGAUAGGCCCUCGUGCAUUCAAAUGCCUUAAAUGUUUAAGUUUCCACAUUUCGACUGGGAAAGAAAUUUCAGUCACAUACCUCCAAUUACUUAGGUCUAUGAUUUGUAGAUUCCAAAGGUGAAGUAUUGAAGAUGGAACAAAUGUAAAAUCAGAUGUUGCUUCAAUUCUCAAGUACCUUAAGUGGAUAAAGUUCCCUAAAUUAGAAAGGGUGCUAAGCCAGGUUGGUCCAAGCUCCAACACUCGAACCAAUUUGAAGUCUUUUGAAAGCCAUUUCCACUGCUUCCCAGUACCAAAGUCAUCUUGGCCAAAUAAGAACAGGGAUCGGAUACAUGAAUGAUCAUUGUUGCUCGAAGAAAUGUAAUGACCCACCUUACAGUGAAUGGAUAGUCUACGAGGUUUUGUCGGGAUUAGAAUGUUAUUGUCUGUGCAAAUUUCAAAAACUUUGUCCUCUUUACUCUCUGAUAUGCAGAGGUCUCGAAGAAGAUCAUGAACGUGAACAUCUCUAUUAGUCUUCCCUUUUGCUACUUGGACCAAACUACGAUCGAUGAGCUCAUACAAGUAGUCUUCAGCAACUUCAUCUGGAUCUCUAUUCCCUGUAUCUUGUAUAAAACCCUCGGCAACCCAUUUUUGCAAUAAUGGCGUAACAGGGAUUUGAAAGUCUUCAGGAAAUAUCCCAAGAUAGAGAAAGCAUGGUUUUAAUCUCCUUGGCAAGUUGUCAUAGCUGAGUUUGAGAACUAUAUCCUUCACUUGGGUAUGAUCUCGAGUGAGAUACCAAUUAACAUGACCCACCACUUUUGACCAUUCUCUGUGUGAUUUUUCCUUGUAGGCUAGCAGUCCUGCUAAGACAAUGAUGGAGAGCGGCAAACCACGACAACUUUGAACCAUUUGCUUUCCAAGAGCCUCCAAAUCAGAAGGGUAGUCUUCACCCCUAAACACUUUCCUGCAAAACAACUCCCAACUUUCUUCUUCACUCAGGAACUGCAGAUAGUAAGGAAGAUCAUGGGAAGUAUGCAGUGCCACCUCUUUCAAACGACUAGUGAUCAAUACUCUGCUGCCUCUGUUGUUGUCCGGAAAAACAUCUUGCACCUCGUCCCAAUCUUGCCUUUUCCACAGGUCAUCUACCACCACAAGAUAUGUUCUACUCUCCAAGCUGUUUCGCACCAGUUUCUUCAGCUCCUCCUCACUCAAGCUACUAUUGUCUUGAGUGCUUUUCUUUCCUUUCUUCUUGCCUCUGCAUUGUUGUUCAAAAUUUGGCAUCAAAUGCUUAAGAAGGCCAAGCAAAAGCUCCCUAACUCUGCACUCGUUUGACACAUAAACCCACGCUCGACACUCGAAGUGUUGCUGCACCUCGCUGCUGUUAUAGACCUUCCGAGCAAGGGUGGUCUUGCCCAAUCCCCCCAUGCCAAUGAUAGAGACAACUUUACGAUUUGAACCACCUUCCAAGAUUCGUUUGAUGAUAUCCUUGGAGUCAUCGACAAAGCCAACCACAUUUUCUUCCUCUACAUCUCUUCUUAGCUUGUGUAAUGAUUGCGCCCUUUCCUUCUCCUCCUCCUCUUCUGCUGCAGAUUGAUUAUUGAUUUCUUUGAAAGCAUCAUAUUUGUCCUUGUUGUCGCGUAUUUCGUUGAGAGUGGUUUUCAUCUUGUCUACUUUGUCGGCUACGUCAUGGAGCAACCUUACUUGGCCAAAGCCAUGAAGCAUCCUCCCGAGCAUGGUUCUCCUCUUGUAAAUGGCAACUUUGGCUACGAAAGUGUCGAUGACAUCCUCAGCUAGGUGGGCCACAUCUCUGAUUUGGUUCACCACUGUAUUUGAAAUUCCUUUCUUUCUCUUUGAGGUAUUGAGAAGUUCGUUGAUCAUUUGAAGCUCGUUCUGGAGGGACUGGACCCUGUCCUUCACGCCAUACAGCAAGUUAGCUUCACGUGCCACAAGCUCAGAUAAGUGAUCCAAAACAAAGGAAACUACACUGUCUGCCAUUACAGCAUAGACGUGCCUGCAGAUUUUGAUCUGUGCUUGGAUAAUGUGUUUGUGGUUGGUGAUGGAAGAACAACAAUGGAUUGUAGCUUGCAGCCACAUCCUAAGAUAUAUCUGAAUAUAUAUUAUCGAAAGAAAAGUGAUUGCAAUAAUUAAUUUACAAAGAAUAUCUGGUUUUAUUUUUGCAUUGACUUAGAGUCAGCCAUGAUUGUGGUUGAACUGAAGCUUCCACUCAUUUUCAAAGUUGAGUUGGAGCGCAUAUUGCUGAGUCAGAAUGCACCUUCCUGCUACGUGCAUGUCACCUUCUACUUUACUUUUAUGAGCCACGUUAUUAGAUGCAAUCAAACAACAUAUAUACCCUACCAAUUUCUCAUCAUUAAUAUCUUAUAUUCACAAUUUACAUACAAAAACUAAUUAAUGUACUAAAUAUGUUAAUAAUUAAUAUGAAAAGUGGUUGCAAUAAUUAAUUUAAAAAGACUUGGGGUCAAGAGUUAUUGUUUUAUAUUUUUCCAUUGCUUUUUCGUCCACAAUGAAUAAAGUUUUACCUUCCACUCAUUUAAGUUCACAUUGCAGCUUCGUGGUAUGUGCAUUGCACCUUCUACUCAUUUGUCAAAUUGCAAUAUAAUAUUUCCACGUUGAGAGUGCAAUAGAAUAAUAUAUGUGUAAAUCAUUGAUAUGCUUUUCCACAUUUUGUGACUACUUAAUUCUUCUAAGCCACACUGUUUCAUAUCUUAUCGUCCAAACCAAUCAAAAUUACAGAGACACAGUCCAACCUCUCUCUCUCUCUCUUCUCUCUCUCUAUAUAUAUGAAAAUUUAAGAAACAGUAAAAAGAUCACUGAAUAUUAAAAAUCAUACAAAUUUUAAUGAAUUGUUUAUUUUAUUGAUUGAAUUUUAUAAAAUUUGCAUGAUUUUUUAUUUAUAUAUAAUUGUCAUUAUAUAAAACAAAUUCUAUUUAUAUACUCAUUCAAACUUUUUCUCAAUUUCAACUCUGAUAAAAGUAGAACUCUAUCUUCCAAUUUCAAUCUUUUUUUUAUUUAGGCAUAACUAAUUGUAUUGCGUUAUUUUUCUGAAUUAUGGUUUUCUACAAACAAUUUUUAGAUUAUUUAUUAUUAUUGUUAUUAUAUAUGAUUGUUCGAUAAAUCAAAAUUUUAUAUAAGACUCUACAAUCAUUCUAUGUAAAUCAUUAGUAUAGGUCAUAAUAUUUUUUUUUGGGUAGAUUUUAUCUAUAUAUAUAGAUUAUGUAAUUAAUAAUUGAUUUCACAAGCUGGGAUAAGUGAUCUAAAACAAAGGAAACUACACUGUCUGCCAUUACAGCGUUGAUGUGUAUGUAGAGUUUGAUCUGUGCUUUGAUGGUGUGUUUGUGGUUGGUGAUGGAACAAGAGAAAGCAAUGGAUUGUAGCUUGCAACCAAACACUAAAGGAUAUCGAAAUAUAUAUUAUGAAAGUGGGUGCAAUAAAUAAUUUAAAAAGACUUUGGUUCAAGAGUUCUGGUUUUAUAUUUUGUUAUAGAUUUAGCGUGAACCACGAAUAAUGAAAAGUCUCUGCAAUAAAUAAUUUAAAAAGACUUGGGUUCAAGAAUUCUUGUUUUAUAUUCUUCUAUAGGUUUUGCGUAAACCAUGAAUAAUGGAAAGUGUGGGUGCAGUAAAUAAUUUUAAAAGACUUGGGUUCAAGAGUUCUUGUUUUAUAUUUUUCCAUUCAUUUUUCGUCAACCAUAAAUAAUCUCUAUAGAAUUCCAUAUAUAUAGAGAUUCUAUUAUAGUAUUCUAUUAAAAGAACUUCUUAUAAUAUUCAAUCAAGAUUAUAUAAAUUAUUUUUAAGAAUGCAUUAAAAUCAUAUGAUAUUUAAAUUAAAUUUAAGAAACAGUAAAAAAAGCAUUGAAUAUUAAAAAUCAUACAAAUUUUAAUGAAUUGUUAUUUUAUUGAUUUUUUCUAUAAAAAUUGCAUAUUUUUUAUUUAUAUAUAAUUGUCAUUAUAUAAAAAAAAUCCAUAUAUAUAUACUCAUUCAAACUUUUUCUUCAACUCUGAUAAUAGUAGAACUCUAUCUUCCAAUAUUUCAAUAUUUUUUGCUUUACAUACAAGUAAUUGUUUGCGUUAUUUUUCUGAAUUAUGGUUUUCUACAAACAAUUACUUAAUUUUGUUAUUAUUAUAUAUUAACUACCAAUUAUUUAUAUUUUAAAUUUGAUAGAAAAACCUUGAUUGCUAAUUAGUACCAAUUUAGAAACUAUUUAACCUAAUAAAAACUAAUUUAUAAACCAAAUUUUGUUUAGUCUCUAAAAUAAUCUUUAAUUUAGUCAAUAUAACAACUAAUUAUUUUUUUUCUAAAAAUUAGUUUCUAUUUCAUUGUGUUUUCUUAUAGUAAAAAAAGAAUUCGUAUAAAAUUUAGUUAUUCAUAUCAGGUUAAAAUUACACAAAAGUUUUCUCUAAACAAAUCUAAAGUGAGGUAUUGACUCUACACUUAUUUACGUGCACCUCCAAACAUAUAAAAACGUUACUUACAAACGCAAUCCAAACAUAAAAAUUUAAUGAAAUUUAAUGAAAGACAUAAAAAAAAAUAGUUCAUCCACUUUAUAAUAUGGUUAUUUGCCUAUAUAAUAUUUUAAGAGAUUUUUUGUUUUUCCACUUUUAUGAGUAGUUAAUCUAUCUAGCUACAUGUUUAUUUAUACCUUUAGGAGAAACAAUAAAUUUAAAAAAUAUGUUUUUUUUGUUAAGAGCACUUAAGGAUGAAAAUAAUUAUAAAUUUUAUUUAUUUAAUUAUUUAUCUAUUUAUGUUGGAUUGUGACUUAUUUGUAUAAAGUAAGAUGAAGAUUCAUGAAAAAAUUAGUAUUCUUAAAUAUGACAUUACUUACUUUUAAAGAGUUCUUAUUAGGUAUGACAAUACGAGAUGGGUCAUGCAGGUCCGUCCGUAAUCCACUAACAAAAGGCGUGGGUGAAUUCAGUAAUUUUACUCGCCAACCCGUUUAAGCUUCCCACAUAAAGCACAACCCGCGUGGGUCAAUAGUGGGAUAGGAUGGGCUGACCCGCUGAUCUGCACACAAACAAAAUGUAAAGUUGUGUAUUUAUGUCAAACACCAAUAUUUGAAUAGAUUCAAAAUAUAGAAAGAGAAACAUGUCAAUAAUAUUUUUUCAAAUUUGACUAAACUAGUUGAAUCAUCAUUUCAUUUCUUUCUUAUGAUGUAUGGUGGGAGUAUGAUCAUAUUUUAUAAAUAUAGAAAGAAAGAAAAAUCAACAAUGUUUCUUCAAAUUGGAUUAAACUAGUUAAACCAUCAUUUUUUUUCUGUUUAUUAGAAUCGUAUUUUAUUUUGUAUAAUGACCAUUUAUUUUGUAUGAUGACUAGGUUGAAUCAUUAAUUUUAAUUAUAUGUUUAUUUUAUAUUAUCCGAUAAUGUUUUAAUUUUGAAAUUGAAUUGGAAUGAAUGAGAAAUGUAUUGGAUAGUGUCUUUGUGGUUGGUAAUGGAAAAAGAGAAACCGUGAUUUACAUAGGACUGGUGAUAAUUUAAAAAGACUUGGGGUCAAGAGUUAUUGUUUUAUAUUUUUCCAUUGAUUUUUCGUCAACCAUGAAUAAUGAAAAGUGGAUGCGAUAAAUAAUUUAAAAAGACUUGGGUUCAAGAAUUCUUGUUCUACAUUUUUCUAUAGAUUUUGUGUGAACCGUGAAUAUUGGAAAGUGGGUGCAGUAAAUAAUUUAAGAAGACUUGGGUUCAAGAAUUCUGGUUUUAUAUUUUUCCAUUGAUUUUUCGUCAACAAUGAAUAAUGUUGAACUGAUUUAAGUUCACAUUGCACCUUCUACUCAAUUGCCAAAUUGCAAUAUAAUAUUUCCUCCUUCACGAGAUGCAAUAGAAUAAUAUAUAUACUUUAAAUAUAUAUUGCUUGGUGGUUGGAUAAAAUAGACUAAAUAUAUAUAUCCUACCAAUUUCUCAUCACUCAUAUCUAAUAUUCACAAAUAACACAUCAAAACUUAUCAAUAUACUAAAUAUGUUCAAAAAUAUUAUUUUGGUUAGUUAAUAAGAUCAAUUGAAGUUUAAAAAUACUAUUUUUUCCAUAAAAGCUACGUAUUAUAGUAUUCAAUUAAAUAAAUUCUUAUAAUAUUCACACUACUACAAGAAAAUAAGUAAAUAGAAAUUAAUUUUAUAGACCAAAAUAAUUAGUUAUUAUUUGACUAAAUUAGAGAUAUUUUAUAAACUAAAAUAUUAUUGUUAUCCAAAAUAGUUUCUAUUAUUAAUAAAAAAUUAUAAAAUGGUUAAAUACCAAUUUAGAAAUCAUUUAAAAAAAAAUUAAUAAUAGAAAAUUUUUUAGAUAUGAAUAAUUUUUUAGUAUCUAAAUUAGUAUAUAAUUUAAUCAAUACAGUAACUAAUUAUUUUUUAUUUCUAAAUUUAGUUAUUAUUUAAUAAUUUUCUUAUAAUGUAUAUAUUAUAUAUUAUAUAUUUAUAUAUAUAAUACAAUUGAAAUCAGGUUAAUAUAUUUUCUUUAACUUUUUAGGUUUAUCUCACUUACAUUGUUUCAUUGAAAUACGUCGUUUCAUUAAAAAAAAGUCAUCUACUCCUAUACUGGUAUGGCCGACCGACAUGCUGACGUGUCUUGGUCAUCCUGACCGAACUGAUCGAGACACCCACGGACGGUCUGGCUGACCGACACAUAUAACCAUUAACGCUCAAACCAAGGUCAGUGAAGCUAAACUAUCAUUAAGAAUUAUGUAAUGCAACCAUAAGUGUGAUCCAUUCCACUAAUCAGGUCCAAUGAGAUAAGCCCAUUAAAAUAAUAUAAAUAGCACACAUUCCAAGGAACAAGGUACGUCAUUAUUACUAUACACCUACCAGAGUGUCGAACGUCCUCUUUACUGACUUGAGCGUCGGAGUGCCUAUUGCAGGUACUUCCCCCAUUUGGCAUUCACCCGAGACUGAGAGCCGAAGGAGUAGCAUGAAGGCGAGAAGGAUCCCAACGACACCCUAGCAACUUGCUCGAGGAAAGGAGGAAGACAAAGACUUCAAUAGCUCUUUAGGUCUCAUCUCCCUAGCAGGAACAAUUGGCGCCCACCGUGAGGCCGAGAGAAAAUAGAUGGUCUCAACCAGAAGCAUGGAAAGGAUGACUGAUGCCGACCAGACAUUGUUGUUGUCUCUGUAGAGAGAGAUGGCCGAGAUGAAUAGGAGGACAGAGGAAGCUGUCCAGAAGAACGAACAAGAGAUGCAGGCUCUCCGAAGGGAGAAUGAAGAGAUGAAGAAGAAGCUGAUGGAGGGAGGACUGUCCACUGGGCCGACCAAUGUCGUCGACAGGUCCUUCACCUCUCCUCCCACAUCGAGACCGGUAGAGGAGACAAGAGACAAGGUUCCCACCCACGAGAUGGAGGGAGAAUCUUUUAUCAACAAGUCGGUCAGGACGACCAUCACCAUGGACUUGGUCCGCCGACACCCAUUCACCAACCCUAUCAUUGAAGUCCCACUACCAGACAAGUGGAAGGAUUUCAACCGAGAUCGAUAUGACGGGUCUACCGACCUGGACGAGCACAUGGAUGCCUACACCACCCAUAUGAGUCUCUACACCUCAGACGAUGCAGUGUUGUGUCGAGUGAUUCCCUCAUCGCUAAAGAGAGCAACCCUUAGCUGGUUUACCAAGCUCCCACCUAACUCCAUUGAUAGCUUCGCCACACUCGUGACGAAGUUCGAGACUCAGUUUGCCACCAGCAGGUCACACAACCUGACCUCCAUCGCCCUGGUACGCAUCCGCCAAGAGAAGGGAGAGUUGUUGAGAACCUUUGUUGAUAGGUUCAACAAAGUGGCAAUGAGCAUCUGGAACCUCAGCCCAGACGUUGUGUCAUGCAUCACAUGCUGGCAGCCCUGCGCCCAGGACCCUUUGCUGACAACCUGUGCAUGCAAUCAGUCGCCAGCUUGGACGAGAUGAGGAAGAAAGCCGCCAAGUAUAUGCAGCUGGAAGAGCUCAGAGAAUUCCGCAACCAGGCCCGUGCCGAGGCUAAUGGAGAGAAGAACAAGGAAGAGAAGGACCGCCAAGGCCGAUUAGGCCAGCGGGGUGACAGACGCAGAGAUAAUAGAGAUCGAGCAAUCUGAUUCUCGAGAUACACACCUUUGACGACCGAGAGGGGAAGGAUUCUAGACGAGGCACUCAACGCCGAGUUGAUCCCUCCUCCCAGAAAGGUGGCAAGCCCAAACAAUGUCGACCGAAGAAAGUAGUGUCGGUAUCACCAGAACAGCGAGCACUCCAGUGAGGAAUGCCAGGCUUUGAAAGGUAAGAUUGAAGAGCUCAUCCAGGAUAGGCACUUGCGCUGAUUCGUCAGGAAUGGCCGAGACGCAGGAUGCUCACCUCGUAGAGAGGAGCCCUCCAAGAGAAGGAGAUCACCCGGGGCCGAGAUGACCAAGACCGCGGGGACGAUCCUCCCAGGGAGGCCGAAAGAAGAGGUAACCGAGAGGUUAUCAACACCAUAGCCAGCGGCUUUGUUGGAGGAGGAAGUACCAACAACGCCCUAUGCUAGAAUAUCUGGAUAUAGAGGAGACGUGGUCCCAAUAUUCAAUUUAUUUUGCAGGGGUGUUGAUAUUGUUUAAAGUUGUAAAAAUAUUAGAUUUUGAUUGUUUAGUAUGUAAGUGUUGAUUUUUUUAUGUUAAAUAGGAUUUUAAAUGUCGUGGAUUUCGUUUUGAAAGAAAUUGUACGAUGAAAAUGGUAUGGAAUUGAAUUCAUACAUUUUGGAUAAUGUAAAUGUAUGAACUGAUGUUUAUUGGUGUAUUAAGUACUGAUGUUUAUGUGGUAACAGAGAUCUCCGAGCUUCACUGAUAAUUUAAAUCACAUACACUAAGAUAUCAGGUGGUGAGAAGUUGAUGGGGGAGUUCAUCACACCGUGACAUAUGAGAUGCAUGACUUGGGUUGUAUUGAACUUACCAUGAUCAUUUCUCUUGAAUUCACUAGUAAUAUUUGGAUCAGGUGUUAGUUUCUGAUAAGACUUACUUGAUAAGGGUCUUCCAGAAUGCAUCAGUUGUUAUUCUAUUUGUUGAAUAUUCUGAAUGUGUGCAUUUGUGUGAGAUCUAUGUGAUUGUUUUAUGUUGGGAUUUGAACAAGAUUGAAUAAUUGAGAAAUUAAUCCAUGUAAUUUGAUUUUUUCUUUUGAUUUAAUUGUGUAUAUUAUAAAAAUUUAUUUUCACUAAUUUACCCUUGUUUUUCUUACUGUGUUGUCAACUGCGAUGACCGUAUCAUACAAAUGUCGAAGGUUAUGGAAGUUUUAAGAUAUUCUUUUGAACCUUAUAUUGUAAAUAUUUAUAUUUUUAUAAGUCACAAUCAUGUAUUAAGAAUAUUUUGAAAAACUAUAAACUCGUAUAUAAACAUAAAAUUUGUAUUGUAAUAAUUAGAUGAAUUUCGUGUUACAUAGCCAAUUUAAUUUGAUUGCCUUAAUAAUUUUAAAACAAAGUAUAGGUAUUAUGUAUAAUACAAUUGAAAUCAAUUUGGCUUAAUAUAUUUUCUUUAACUUCUUACGUUUAUCUUACUUACAUCUUUUCAUUGAAAGACGCCGUUUCAUUAAAAAGAAAAGAAAAACGACAUCUUCUUCCUUUCCCACAUAAUCUCAUAUUUGAAAAUUCCUAUUUGAAACAUUAAUUAAUCUCGUAACCUUUAAAUGCAGUAGAAAUAUUUUAUAUAUUAGUAAUAGUUUAAAUGUAGAGUGAGAAAAGAUAAAUAUUUAGAUUUUUUUUUUCCUAUAAAAUCAUUUGUCUUACAAAUUGUAACUUUUUUUGUUUAAUCUAUUUCUUUCAUAUUAGAUUCAUUGAAAAAUAAUAUGAUUAUAUGCCUAUAUAAUAUUGUAAGAGAUUUUUUUUGUUUUUCCACAUUGUAUGAGUAGUUAAUCUAUCUAGCCACAUGUUUAUUUAUACCUUUAGGAGAAACAACAAAUUUAAAAAAUAAGUUUUUUUUUGUUAAGAGCACUUGAGGAUGGAAAUAAUUAUAAAUUUUAUUUAUUUAAUUAUUUAUCUAUUUAUUUUUGGAUUGUGACCUGUCACUACAAGAAAAUCAUGAAAUAGAAACCAAUUUUUAGAAACCAAAAUAAUUAGUUUCAAUAGGAACUAAAAUAGAGACCAUUUUAGAAACUAACAAAAAAAUUGGUUUCUAAAUUAGUUUCUAUUAUUUUCUAUUAUUGUUAAAUAGUUUCUAAAUUGGUAUCUAAUUAGCAACUAAGGUUUUAGAUACCAAUUAUUUAGUUUCUAAAUUUAGUCUCUAAAACCUUGGUUGCUAAUUAGAUACCAAUUUAGAAAUUAUUUAACAAUAAUAGAAAAUAAUAGAAACUAAUUUAAAAACCAAAUUUCUUUUUAGUUUCUAAAAUGGUCUCUAAUUUAGUUACUAUUGUAACUAAUUAUUUUGGUAUCUAAAAAUUGGUUUCUAUUUCAUAAUUUUCUUGUAGUGUGUAUAAAGUGAGAUGAAGAUUCAUGAAAAAAUUAGUAUUUUUUAAAUAUGACGUUACUCACUUUUUUUAAAGAGUUCUUACAAAUAAAUCUAUGUUUCAAAACAUUUUCAUUUCUUUUUAAUUAUUAUUUUAAACAUUUAUUUUGAUGGUUUCGAAUAUCUAAAUUUUUUACAGAUUUUAAGAAUUGAUAUUAAACCUAAUUUAGAUACAUAGUUCUUUCUUAAUCCAUUAAAUAUGUUAAUUAAGACAAAAUUGUGAUGUUAUUGAAUUCCAAAGUAUUUAGUACCAUAAAUGUGAUAAUCGAAUUUAUGUUAGAGUAAUAUCGAAAUUAAAAUAAUGAUUUCAUCUAAUAGAAAAAGAAGGAUCUAACUUAUUUUAUUGAACUCUAAAAUAGAUAUUAUUUUAGAUAUAUAUAUUUUUACACUUAGGACCUCUAACAAUGAAAAAGUAGUUUUAAAAAUAGGAAAAAACAAAUUUUAAGAAAAUAUAUAAUUUAUAUUUUACCAUACAUUAUUUAACUGUGUUUUAUAGAAUUAGUUAGAAAGUUAAAAGGAUAACUGGAUGUUAAACAAUCAGCCACUAGCUUAAAAUCAAUUAACUCUAGCAGAUUUUUUUUAAACAAGAUUAUUAAAUUAUAAAUAUUUGAUUAAAUUAUCUUCAUAAAUAUAAAAUUAUAGAAGUAUAUAUACGCUAAUAUGGUACUUCAUAUAAAUUAUAGUUUUAUUUUAUUGUUAAAAAUUUAUUCCGAAUAUUUAUCAUUUUAAUUUUUAACUAGUCUUAACAUUUUAUAUUUUUUUAUUUAUAGAUCAAUCAUUUUAAUUAUAUUUUUUAUAUUGUGUAUUAUAUCAUUCAUAGGAAGUAAUAUUGUAAAAUAUUUUCAAACAACUUUAAAAUAAAAUAUCAUAUUUUUAAAUAGACAUACCGUUACUCAGUUAAAAACAUUUUAAUAUUAAAAAAUAGUGUCCAUCAAGAUCAAUAUUUUAAAAUUUAUUAGUAAACUAAUGAAAUGAAUAUUGUGAAUAGGAUAAUCAUUAAAAUAAGUAGUGUGAUAUAAAAUAUUAGAAAGAUAAUUAUAUUACAUAGCAUUAUUAUUAUUAUUGAUAUGUUAUAUGGUAAAAAGGUAAACCACUACACAAACUGAAAACAGAAAAAGCAAUUGUAUAAAUUAGUUGAUAACAAAUUCAAAUGCAAAAAAAGGCUAAAUGAUAUUUGGAUAUAAUUUUAUAUAUAUAUAUAUAUAUAUAUAUAUAUGGAAUAAAAUAAAUUACAAAUUUCUCUUAUCCUUACACAAAUCUACUAAAUAUAACUCUUAAACUAAAAAUCCAAUCAUUAUAUUCAUCAUCUCAGAAGAAGAGUUAACACUCUGUUACUAGUUGAACCCUAUUGUUUAUUUCCAUAUUUUCUAGCAUGGUAGCCAUUUGGUGAGAUGGUUUCAUUACCUGCACUUUUCUCAAGCCAUUCAAAGACCAAAGUUUACUUGGAAGAUCAUCUAAUGUUUCACAAUUGUUGAUGAUCACACUCUGAAGCCUUAGCAUUGCACCAUUGCCUAAUUUCCACUUUCCAAGAUUCAAAUAUUCCAUUUCAAACACUUCCAGUUGUGGGAAACUGCCUGCCAAACAAUUCAGUUCAAAGGAAUUCCCAAAAUAACAUCUAUUUCCCGAAAGUCUCAAAAUUUUGAGUUUGGUGAGAUUUCCCAAACCAUUCAUCCCCUCAUCAAUAAAGGAGUUAAUCUUUGACAACGUUAACUCCGUAACAUUUGGAGGAAAUGCGAGCGCAAAGGUCAGAAGGUUAAAAACAUUGUCAAUCUUUAAGAAAGUUAGACAAUUGAACUGC